UACGUAGGGUGCGAGCGUUAAUCGGAAUUACUGGGCGUAAAGCGUGCGUAGGCGGUUCUGAAAGUCAGCUGUGAAAGCCCCGGGCUUAACCUGGGAAUGGCGGUUGAAACUAGAGGACUAGAAUCUGGCAGAGGGGGGUGGAAUUCCGCGUGUAGCAGUGAAAUGCGUAGAUAUGCGGAGGAACACCGAUGGCGAAGGCAAUCCCCUGGGCCUGCACUGACGCUCAUGCACGAAAGCGUGGGGAGCAAACAGG
rnacentral:rRNA from 1 species